CAGAGCGUAGCUAAAAUAGAAUAGCAUCUCCCUUACACUGAGAAGUCAUUCGUGCAACCCGAAUUGCCCUGA
rnacentral:tRNA from 1 species